UUAAUAUUUAUUUCAUUAAAAACACUAAAGAGGUCUCUAUCAUUAUCCAAAUCGGAUCCCGGUGGUCUGUAGCAUACCCCAAGCACUAUCCCAAGGGAGGCUCUAGUAGCUUUCUU